UACGGGGGGGGGCAAGCGUUGUUCGGAAUUACUGGGCGUAAAGGGCUCGUAGGCGGCCAACUAAGUCAGACGUGAAAUCCCUCGGCUUAACCGGGGAACUGCCUCUGAUACUGGAUGGCUUGAGAUUGGGAGAGGGAUGCGGAAUUCCAGGUGUAGCGGUGAAAUGCGUAGAUAUCGGGAGGAACACCAGUGGCGAAGGCGACUACCUGGCCUGUUCUUGACGCUGAGGCGCGAAAGCUAGGGGAGCAAACGGGG
rnacentral:rRNA from 1 species